rnacentral:tRNA from 3 species
GGGCGUGUGGUCUAGUGGUAUGAUUCUCGCUUUGGGAAUGCGAGAGGCCCUGGGUUCAAUUCCCAGCUCGCCCC